UUGGUAAAGGGCUUUAAAAUGCUUCCUCACCCCCAGAAAUUCACUGAAAGGGAAACUUCUCUGUAAGGUGUGUUCAGGCACAAAAGAGGAGCAACAGUCAUGAGCCUUGAUAGUGCAAAGUUCUCUACAGUCACAGGAUGAAGGGCUGCUAUUGCAGGAUUGGAAUUAUUUUUUCAGAGAAGCAGACAUUAUUUGAACAAGAUUCUGGAUUCUGAAUUUCACAAAGAAGGUGCAAGGCUAUGAUUUUUUCUUCAAGUUUCAUCAAAUUUUUCUGCAUAAGAUGAAUGAAUGAAUAAGUUACUAACUAACUAACUAAAGACGCCCUCAUCAAGCAGCUUUUACUGGCUGAACCAAGUGUCCUAUGGCCUUCAUCAAGCUGCGCUCUCUCUGAGGUAACCAGAUUUUUUAUCCCAUUGAUAUGUUUUCCAAUUGAAACAGAGAAUCGGUCAGCAAGGAAGGCAUCCUAGAACCAUUCUAGGACCAUGCUAGGAGCCUAAACCUCAAAAAUUCAGUAGACACUCUAGUAUUCAUCUGGUGACAAGAAAUAGCUAGAGAGUUGAUAAAAUGAAGAGAUAUUUCUUUACAGGAGACAUUUUCUCCUCUUUAAAGGUAAA
rnacentral:lncRNA from 1 species